rnacentral:rRNA from 1 species
CCUANGGGUGGCUGCAGUAAGGAAUAUUGCACAAUGGGCGAAAGCCUGAUGCAGCAACGCCGCGUGGGUGAAGAAGGCCUUCGGGUCGUAAAACCCUUUUCCAGGGGAAGAGUGAGGACGGUACCCUGGGAAUAAGUCUCGGCUUACUACGUGCCAGCAGCCGCGGUAAAACGUAGGAGGCGAGCGUUAUCCGGAUUUAUUGGGCGUAAAGCGCGCGCGGGCGGCGUCUCAAGUCGGAUGUGAAAUCUCCUGGCUUAACUGGGAGACUGCGUUCGAAACUAGGACGCUUGAGGUCAGUAGGGGGGAGUGGAAUUCCAGGUGUAGUGGUAAAAUGCGUAGAUAUCUGGAGGAACACCAGUGGCGAAGGCGGCUCCCUGGACUGCACCUGACGCUGAGGCGCGAAAGCGUGGGGAGCGAACGGGAUUAGAUACCCGUNUANUC